rnacentral:rRNA from 1 species
CCCGAAGGUAUCCUGAAUCUUUCGCAUUGUUAAUCAUACAAAUGCAUAUAAUAAACAUAAAAAUCAUUGAUAAUUAUGCCAUUAUAUAAUUCCAAAAAAUUAAAGCUCUGUAUAUAUGAUAAAUCUAUCAACACUUUAUCAAAUCAUAAACAUUUAUUCUAUGUUAAAAAUACAAGCUAAAUAAUUUGAAUAAACUUAAAGUUCAUGAAUUUUUGAUAAAUAUUUAAUUAUGUUAAUAGAUUACAAUGUCCUUAUAUGGAAAAAAUG